rnacentral:rRNA from 1 species
UCGCCUUUAGAGUUGAUCCUGGCUCAGAUUGAACGCUGGCGGCAGGCGUAACACAUGCAAGUCGAGCGGAUGAAGAGAGCUUGCUCUCUGAUUCAGCGGCGGACGGGUGAGUAAUGCCUAGGAAUCUGCCUGGUAGUGGGGGACAACGUUUCGAAAGGAACGCUAAUACCGCAUACGUCCUACGGGAGAAAGCAGGGGACCUUCGGGCCUUGCGCUAUCAGAUGAGCCUAGGUCGGAUUAGCUAGUAGGUGAGGUAAUGGCUCACCUAGGCGACGAUCCGUAACUGGUCUGAGAGGAUGAUCAGUCACACUGGAACUGAGACACGGUCCAGACUCCUACGGGAGGCAGCAGUGGGGAAUAUUGGACAAUGGGCGAAAGCCUGAUCCAGCCAUGCCGCGUGUGUGAAGAAGGUCUUCGGAUUGUAAAGCACUUUAAGUUGGGAGGAAGGGCAGUAAGUUAAUACCUUGCUGUUUUGACGUUACCAACAGAAUAAGCACCGGCUAACUUCGUGCCAGCAGCCGCGGUAAUACGAAGGGUGCAAGCGUUAAUCGGAAUUACUGGGCGUAAAGCGAGCGUAGGUGGUUCAGCAAGUUGGAGGUGAAAUCCCCGGGCUCAACCUGGGAACUGCCUCCAAAACUACUGAGCUAGAGUACGGUAGAGGGUAGUGGAAUUUCCUGUGUAGCGGUGAAAUGCGUAGAUAUAGGAAGGAACACCAGUGGCGAAGGCGACUACCUGGACUGAUACUGACACUGAGGUGCGAAAGCGUGGGGAGCAAACAGGAUUAGAUAUCCUGGUAGUCCACGCCGUAAACGAUGUCGACUAGCCGUUGGGAUCCUUGAGAUCUUAGUGGCGCAGCUAACGCAUUAAGUCGACCGCCUGGGGAG